AGUUCUGUAGCUCAGUGGUUAGAGUACCCGCUUUACAAGAUUUUGAAGUGGGCCUUGGGGUUCGCGGAUGGCCGUGGGUUCGACCCCCACCAGAACUA